AUGAAUAAAGUAAGGAUUUACAACUCUAAUUAUUCUCUCAUCUAAUUAUCACCGCUAAUCACCCCGGAGUUCUCCGAUCGUGUACCUCACCAUCUUUAAUCCCGCCGUCGCCUCCAACUUAGCCGCAUCGAGCUCUCCUUCGGAACCGCUUAAUUAACAACAACGUUCCCAAGCUGCUAAGCAUCGAGAAUCCACCUCUAUAAUUCAAGGGGAGACACCAAAUGUGGAGAAGAAUCAUAAUGUUGAUUCACAUACACCUACAUCAUUGGUGACAGAAAUAAAUGUUGAUCAAAACUGCAUGAGUUGAUGGAGUGUGCAAAUAAAUAUCACACAAUAUUAAAUAAACUAGAUGGCUAAGAAGAUAAUAUAAAUGUUAUUGAAAAAUCUAAAGAAAUAACGUCAAAUACGAACAUUAGAAAAAAUCCCAAAAGAAGUUGUAGCGCACAUAGUAAUUAUGAUGACUUCAUAUGUUCUACGGUAACGAAAGAGUAUAACACUAAACAUCCAAUUCAUAAGAACCAACAAGAACCAAAUACUUAC
rnacentral:lncRNA from 1 species